UUCUGUUGAAAGCGUGGACCGAAAUCCGGUGAAGUCAUAAAGACCAUUGCCUGAGACAUUGGAGGAGACUCGGUCAUCAAUCCGGGGAAAACGAUGUAAUGGAUGGAACCAUACUACGAAAAGAAAAUGAAAGAUAAAAAACUAUGCAUUUCAAGUGAGGCCAUAGGCAAUGCUAAUGAGUUCCGAGGUACUAAGCUUUGCAUCGGUGCACUUCCCAUCAGCAUCUCCUGUCAUUUCUUGAUCUUCCUCUGUUCAUGAAGCAACACAAACCAUCAACACGGUCCAGCACUACA